AGUCAAGAGGGAGAAACUCAUUAAACUAAAGGAAAAUAAGGAAGACUUUUACAUCAGAUCAUAGAGCUUUUGUGGAGAAGUAUUGGCUCGGCCAAUGGACUCAGAAAGUGAAAAUGAGCAAGUAUCGGAGUGCGUGAGUUGAUUCAUUGUCAAAAGUGGCCCCAACAUUUACCAAAGGCAACCACAAAUGCACAACGUGAUAAAUAUGGUGAAACACUUUCCAAAAAUGUAGUGAAGAACACAGACAAACUGAACAAAGGAGUUCUCCAAGGAAGAAGUGGUCACAGGGACAUGUUUCAGAGAAAGGAGAAGAGGAAGAAGGGAGAAGUCGAAUUAACACGGAAAAGACACAAGAUGAGACAAAGGAACAUGACGGAGGAGGAAAGGACAAUGAAAUGAGGACGCAACAAAAAAGGGACCGGCGAACAUCAUCUCUGUUCCUGCAGCUUCCUCAUUCGCUCCCUGUUAUCUGAUGAGUCUCACUCAGCCUGUCACGGCUGACUGAUCGAGGCUGCCAGUCGCCAUUGCCCCCCCACUACCUGAUGUAAAUAACCUCCCUGCCGGUUCAAGCCUUUCUCUCCUGAUGAUGUUGCAGCAUCACCUGAAGGAAGUGGAUCACUUGUGUCUCUGGUCACAAGGCAACAUUCUCGCAUUUACAAUGGGUUUGUCUCAGAAAUGUCUUCCAAACAUCUGUGCAGGGAACAAAAAAUGAGGCUUUGUGGUGGAACAAUGCAGAUUGAGAAAAGACACAAGGAGCGGCGCAGUGAGAGCAGCCGCUUCAAGUGUUCAGGAUUUCAAUGAACAGAAGAAGAAGGUGAGGAAGACGCUUCGGUUUGGGCUCGAAGUCUGAUGAGAAUUCACUGGCUGCUUUUUGGGAGGCAGCCAUGAAACAGGCGUGCCAAUCAAUUGGACAGGGACAAGGCUGCUGUGUGAUAAUGGCUCUAAUUAUGAACUGCCGGGGGACUCCUCCCAGAUCGGCUGUAAAACCUGGAUUCCUGUCCCUUCCCCUCGUCACCUGACCCCUUCUCUCCCCCCACAAGCCCCUCCUUUCUUCCUCUGUCAGCCAUCAAAGGUGGAGCCCAAUGGAUGUGGGGGGGGGGCGAUUUAGAAGACUUAAGCCCCCACUGUACCUGUCAACAGAGUGGCUUCGGUGCUGACGACCAGCAGCUUAACUCAUUUGAAGCUCCUUUUUUUUUUCCGGCACGGAGGGAGGAGGUGCAGCAUGCGCUGACAGCCAGUCAGGGUCUUGAAAUAAUUCCAUCCCUAUGAAUAACCAGAGGUGUCUCUGCGACUUAACCCCCCCCACCACCACAACACACAGGGACACACACACACUUCCAGUCAGUCGGAGCAGUUUUUGUCCAUUCAAAGUGGGGGCUUGCUGCGACUCUGAGGCUUGAAUAUUGAUAGAGGACACUCCAAUAUUAUAGAACAAUAGUUAUUGUUAGAAGUGCCUAAUUUACUUCUGGCCUUAAAAGGAAAAUCAACCCCAUCCAUGUUCCUAAUGUUUAAUCAAUUAUCCUGAUUGCAACUUGAUUUGAGUAAUUGCUUCCUGAAAGACUAGUUUCACUUUUAUACCAACAACAGCUCCUCGCUGUUUAUUUUAAUGUUUGCUUUGUUUGUUCUGCCACACAAAUUUGCCAUCUCAAAAUAACUGAUUAGAUUUUUAAUGUCUUUCUUGAGUGAGGCCUCCCCCCUCCCCUCAUACUGGGUCUCAUUACUUUCUCCUCCACUCUCUUUCUCUUGGCCGGGAUAAUCCCCCCUGUAGGGGGACUUCAAAGUGCGGGCCGGCCAGGGAAAAGCCUUAAUUACCCAUUUGCCUUGAAACUCAAGCCAAAUCACAGCUCACCCGGGUCCGUCCGACUCCUCGCUUCUUUCUCCCUCCGACUAAUUGUGGCUCAGAAUUCCUUUUUUUUUUUUUUUUCUCCUCCAGCUUCUCCAGGCUGCGGAAAUGGAGCGAUGAAAUUAUAUUAAAAUAAAAAAGAUGAAAAUUAAAAAUGUUAAAACAGGUGAGGAAAGAGUUAAUGUCAUGUUUUUGAGGCAGUAGUUUUCUUUUUAUGUUUUGAAAAUGUUUUAGACUACCUAAAUCACACGACUGAACAGAUCUGUGAGGAGAAAAUGCAUCGAAUGACCAGAAAGAUAUUUCUUUUAGUCAAAUUCAGCCUAAUUAUUCAAAAUUCAAAUACACAAAUAUUAAAAAGGCACAUCAAUCCAACCCUCCCAAAAAAGGUUAUUUUUUACAAAUACUGUAUUUCAGAUGUAUAAAUUGAUUUUUGGAAAACUACUUUAUAUGUGAAUAAUUGUUGGACAUUCCUGCUGUUGUCUCCUGUUUGCUAAGCUUUCUUCAUGGAAUGGAUAUGACAGGUAUUUCUGUUUUAUGCUGUUUUUCCUCCUUAAAGAACCAGUAGUCCAAACUAUAAAGGAAAAAAUAUCAAGAUGUAUAAGUUUACAAGUAAGCCAUAGUCAACCACCUCCGUCCAUUUGCUUGCUCACACCUCAGCGGUGCUGGCCAGGUCCAAGUCCAGAUGCCAGUUUGGAAACUAAAAUGGGAUGUUUUACUGAUUUGCUUUUGUUUCUAUUUAAUUAAAAUGAAAUGUGUUAAAAAUUUAGGAUAAAAAAAAAAGGAUUUUCAAUGGUAAACCUAUCUCAGCAGAUGUAGUCUUUGUAAGCUACUGAAAGCAGCUGUUUAAUAGUUUUCUCAGCAUCAUCACAUAACUCCAAAUUACCUGAUGGGGAAUCCCAACAAAACUGCAGUUUACCACUAUGCAGGAAACAUUUCAGGUGUCAUCCUGGACAAGCCCCCAAUUCAUGCCCCCAUUGAUUGCCAACCGAGAAAAGCUUGUAAACAGCUUGUGUUUGAAAAGCAAAGAUGGGGACCACCCCACCAGCUUCUGGAAAAGAAACAUGUAGAAAAAAAAAAAUAUGUACUAAAGAAAUUAAGAAAAAAUCAAGCAGCCAGAUGUGCUUUUUUCACUAAAAGGCUGUUUAACAACCUUAAUUUAUUCCCAUUCUGUACAACAUGAUUCAUUACAACAGUACAAAGUGAUCAGAUUCUGUUUUGGACAAACAGAUUGUGGCAGCCGGUGAGUUGGAUUGGUCAUCAGAGUAAAGUCAUCUUCCUCCUGCACCUCAAUAAAUGAGCAGUGAGGGACUCACUGUACCCUAUUCACAAAAGGAUGCACAAAAAGACGAGCCGCUUAAGAAUGACAGCAAGUGCCUACACAUGUAAUUCAAACCAUCCAUGAAGAAUAAUCCAGUCCAGCAGAAGAAAAAUAGAUACAAGUCAGGAUUCUCAGGUUUACUAAAAAGCAGAACCAGCACUCAGAACCGGGUUCUGAGGAGAAAUCCACCCUGCCCGAUGAGAACCCACCCGCCACCCUGAACCCCUUAACCUAAUCCAUCCAACUUUGUUACAGCUCAGCCAUUUUUUUCUACUCAUUUAUUUUUCUUUUUUUUUUUUUUUGUAUUUUCAUUACACCCAAGGCAAAAAAGUUACUAAAACUUAAGACUUUUACAGUUACAUUGACAUAAAAA